rnacentral:rRNA from 1 species
GAUUCGGGGUCACCAGGCGCGAAAACUUUGCAAUAAGCGAAAGCUUGACAGGGCUAUCCCGAGUGCCAUCCGCUGAGGAAGGCUUUUACCCAGUCUAGAACGCUGGGGGAAUAAGGAGAGGGCAAGUCUGGUGUCAGCCGCCGCGGUAAUACCAGCUCUCCGAGUGGUGUGGAUGUUUAUUGGGCCUAAAGCAUCCGUAGCUGGCCAGGUUAGUCCCCUGUUAAAUCCACCGAAUUAAUCGUUGGAUUGCGGGGGAUACUGCUUGGCUAGGGGACGAGAGAGGCAGACGGUAUUUUCGGGGUAGGGGUGAAAUCCUAUAAUCCCGGGAAGACCACCAGUGGCGAAGGCUGUCUGCUAGAACGCGCCCGACGGUGAGGGAUGAAAGCUGGGGGAGCGAACCGGAUUAGAUACCCGGGUAGUCCCAGCUGUAAACGAUGCAGGCUAGGUGUUUGGACGGCCACGUGCCGUUCUAGUGCCGCAGGGAAGCUGUUAAGCCUGCCGCCUGGGGAGUACGAUCGCAAGAUUGAAACUUAAAGGAAUUGGCGGGGGAGCACAAUCACUAGUGAAU